UAAAGGAGAGAUCCGGCAUAGGAUGGACAUGCGUCGCAUUAGGUAGACGGCGGGGUAACGGCCCACCGUGCCGACGAUGCGUAGGGGUUCUGAGAGGAAGGCCCCCCACACUGGUACUGAGACACGGACCAGACUCCUACGGGAGGCAGCAGUGAGGAAUAUUGGUCAAUGGCCGAGAGGCUGAACCAGCCAAGUCGCGUGAGGGAAGAAUGUCCUAAGGAUUGUAAACCUCUUUUGUCGGGGAGCAAAAAGGCUCUGCGGAGUCGUAUUGAGAGUACCCGAAGAAAAAGCAUCGGCUAACUCCGUGCCAGCAGCCGCGGUAAUACGGAGGAUGCGAGCGUUAUCCGGAUUUAUUGGGUUUAAAGGGUGCGCAGGCGGCGUGUCAAGCAAGCGGUAAAAUAGCGGGGCUCAACCCCGUCGAGCCGUUUGAACUGGCGCGCUUGAGUUCAGGCGAGGUAGGCGGAAUUCGUGGUGUAGCGGUGAAAUGCAUAGAUAUCACGAAGAACUCCGAUUGCGAAGGCAGCUUACCAGUCUGCGACUGACGCUCAGGCACGAAAGUGUGGGUAUCGAACAGGAUUAGAUACCCUGGUAGUCCACACAGUAAACGAUGAGCGCUAGGUGUCCGGGUCGCAUGA
rnacentral:rRNA from 1 species